rnacentral:lncRNA from 1 species
CUGGCCAAAGCAAGAACAAAGGAAGAAAAAGGAAGAACAAGAACCCUAGGGUGAAAAUUCAAGAGAAAAUUGGUGGAUUUCAAGUAAUCAAGCAAUCAAAGGUAAAAUUUCUUGAUUUUGACUUGUGAUCUACCUUUCCCAUGCAUUAUUUUGCAUUUUCCAUGGUUGAAUCACAAGAUAUCAUGAAGGAUAGUGUGCUGAUCAAACCCUAGGAAAGAGGUUUUGAUGCUUGAUUUAGUUAGAUUUCAAUGUAUUUUAGUGUUUUUAGUUGAUUGGUGAUAUGUAGCAUGAAAAUCAAACAAGAAAAAUUCAUGUUCUCCCAUCACCCAUCAUUGGCCAAAUUCUCCAUGUAGAAUAUUGAUGAUGAUUUUGAUUUUAUUUCAAGUGAUUUGGUUAGGAAUUAAUGAUUUAUGGUGUGAGAAUCAAGUAGGAAAAAUUAUAGUGUUGACACACCCACCAUGGCCAAAUUUCUCAAGAGAAAAUGUGAGAAUGAUUUUACCAUAUCUCAAGUUAUUUAAUUUGUGUUUGAUGAUUUGAAGUAUUGGGAGAAAAAUAAAAUUAUUUGGAGUUGAAUUGGAUGUAUUGGCCAAUUAAUCGAGUGAUAGAUCGAAUUAGGCCAAUACCGUUUAAUUUAGGUACACAAUUGAAUUUGUGUAAAACACCAUGUUUAGACAAUAAUCCGAACAAUUUGCAUCCCAUUUCAUACAUUAGUAUAAAGCCUGAAUUGGUUUUAUAACAAUUUAGUACAAUGUAGUGAAUGGCUUAUUAUGCAUUAUGUGUAGGUGGUGAGCAUUCUGGCAAAAGUAAAGAGAUAGUACCCGAGGAUCAAGAAUCGGAAUACUUGGAAUUCAACUCCCGAAAUAGUGAGUAACCCUAUCAUCAUCUUAAUUAUCUAAAGUAUGCUUUAUUCGAUUCUGUGAAUUUUAUGGAAAAUGAAUUAAAUGAUUAAUUUUUUGAUUUUAUAAACAAAAUGUGAUUUAAUGAAAUGAUUUUAUAAAAUUGUUUUUAAAAUUGAAUGAUGGUUUGAAAAUAGAGUAAUUGGAGAUUGUUUUUGUGUGUUGUAAAUUCAUGAUUCUAAUUGAUUGGCUUAUGGCAAUAUUGGCAUGAAUGGUUGAUUUGAUAAAUGUGUUGGAAAUGUAUAAAUUGUUGAUCUGCCUAGAAAGGCUGUAAAAUAAAAUAAUUGUCAUGUCAUGCUAUUGCAAAUUUUAUUGUAUGAUGGGUUUAGCUUGCUGUAGUGGGUGGGUUUUCUGUGGAUCAGCCUAUUGGAGGGGCAUGAAAUCUCGUUAUAUUUUACUUCGGUUGGAGAGGCGAGUAGGGUAACUCCCGAGGUAUAACUUUAGAGUUUCACUCCACGCAAAACCACCACGUGAGGGUGAACUCAGCCAACGCCAAGGAAUGGCUAUAUUUUCAAAAUAAAAACAUGAUUUAUGCGUACAUAACUUUUUAACAGGUUUGGCAGACUCGGUUGGGAUAGCCCUCGAUCAAGGCAUCCCUGAUAACUGGGUAUGAGAAUGAUUUUGGCACGAGCCAAAGUUUUAAGAAAUUCAUAAGCCAUGUUGAUUACUCGAUUUAUAUGAAUUGAUUUUAUUUGGUUGAAACAAGUUGAAAGGUGAUGAAUUAUAGUAUGUUAAACUAUUUUAUCUAUCUCCAUUCACUCGGCUUUAGAUAUUUUAGAUGGUAUUUGUUUACUCACUGGGAUUAUAUAAUCUCACCACUCUCCUUUCCACCCAUUCAGGCUCAGAAUAGGCUGUAGAUAGCUGAUUUCAUCGAGGUUACCAUUGGAUUUGCAUCCUCCAAACUGUAGGUUCACAGUCUUCCUUACUUUUAGUUAUUCGAGGGCCCACUGGUUACUGUAAAUUAAAUUAAAUACUCUGGCUUACUGUAUUACAGUAUGUAUGAAUUUAUUUUGCUUUUACGCUGCUACAAAAAUUAUUUACGUAUAACUCUUAAAAUAUUGUUUUAUAAGAAAAUA